rnacentral:ncRNA from 1 species
GUUAUCAAGAGUGGACGAGAGAAUUGGCUUUAUGACUCCACAGCAACCUAUUUUAACAAAUAAGGUGCUAAUACCGACAGAGCAAAAAAUGGCUUUGAAUGAUGA